rnacentral:rRNA from 1 species
UACGAAGGGGGCUAGCGUUGCUCGGAAUUACUGGGCGUAAAGCGCGUGUAGGCGGUUGCCCAAGUCGGGUGUGAAAGCCUUGAGCUCAACUCAAGAAAUGCACUCGGUACUGGGUGACUAGAGGACCGGAGAGGAUAGUGGAAUUCCCAGUGUAGUGGUGAAAUACGUAGAGAUUGGGAAGAACACCAGUGGCGAAGGCGGCUAUCUGGACGGUUUCUGACGCUAAGACGCGAAAGCGUGGGGAGCAAACAGG